GAUGAACGCUGGCGGCGUGCUUAACACAUGCAAGUCGAGCGGAAAGGCCCAAGCUUGCUUGGGUCCUCGAGUGGCGAACGGGUGAGUAACACGUGGGUGAUCUGCCCUGCACUUCGGGAUAAGCCUGGGAAACUGGGUCUAAUACCGGAUAGGACGAUGGUUUGGAUGCCAUUGUGGAAAGUUUUUUCGGUGUGGGAUGAGCUCGCGGCCUAUCAGCUUGUUGGUGGGGUAAUGGCCUACCAAGGCGUCGACGGGUAGCCGGCCUGAGAGGGUGUACGGCCACAUUGGGACUGAGAUACGGCCCAGACUCCUACGGGAGGCAGCAGUGGGGAAUAUUGCACAAUGGGCGCAAGCCUGAUGCAGCGACGCCGCGUGGGGGAUGACGGCCUUCGGGUUGUAAACUCCUUUCGCUAGGGACGAAGCGUUUUUGUGACGGUACCUGGAGAAGAAGCACCGGCUAACUACGUG
rnacentral:rRNA from 1 species